UCAAGCGACUAAGCGCAUACGGUGGAUGCCUUGGCAGUCAGAGGCGAUGAAGGACGUGUUAAUCUGCGAAAAGCGUAGGUGAGGUGAUAAAACCCGCUAUAACCUACGAUGUCCGAAUGGGGAAACCCGGCCUUAGGGUCAUCUGUAACUGAAUUCAUAGGUUGCAGAAGCAAACGAGGGGAACUGAAACAUCUAAGUACCCUCAGGAAAAGAAAUCAAUUGAGAUUGCCUUAGUAGCGGCGAGCGAACGGGUAACAGCCGAUGGUUUAUGUUGUAGUGGAAUGUGUUGGGAAGCACAGCGAUACCGGGUGAUAGCCCCGUACACGAAGCA
rnacentral:rRNA from 12 species